rnacentral:rRNA from 1 species
CAGAUCGGACUUCCAGAUUCGCCCUUAGAGUUUGAUCCUGGCUCAGGAUAAACGCUGGCGGCGUGCCUAACACAUGCAAGUCGAACGCGCAUACAGCAAUGUAUGCGAGUGGCGGACGGGUGAGGAACACGUGGGUUAUCUACCUUGAGGUGAGGAAUACCGGCGAGAAAUCGCCGACAAUACCGCAUGAAUCCGGGAAACCGGGCAAAGUCCCAGCAAUGGGACGCCCCAAGAUGAGCCUGCGUCCGAUUAGCCAGGUUGGUGGGGUAAUGGCCUACCAAAGCGACGAUCGGUAGCUGGUCUGAGAGGACGAUCAGCCACACUGGGAUUGAGAACGGCCCAGACUCCUACGGGGGGCAGCAGUGAGGAAUUUUCGUCAAUGGGGGAAACCCUGAACGAGCAACGCCGCGUGCAGGAAGAAGGUUUUCGGAUCGUAAACUGCUUUUCCUGGGGAAGAGAACGGACGGUACCCAGGGAAUAAGCCCCGGCUAACUACGUGCCAGCAGCCGCGGUAAUACAGAGGGUGCAAGCGUUAAUCGGAAUUACUGGGCGUAAAGCGCACGUAGGUGGGUGCUUAAGUCGAAUGUGAAACCCCCGAGCUUAACUUGGGGACUGCAUGCGAUACUGAACACCUAGAGUAUAGUAGAGGGAAGUGGAAUUUCCGGAGUAGCGGUGAAAUGCGUAGAUAUCGGAAGGAACACCAGUGGCGAAGGCGGCUUCCUGGCCAGCACUGACGCUCAUGCACGAAAGCGUGGGGAGCAAACAGGAUUAGAUACCCUGGUAGUCCACGCCCUAAACGAUGUCAACUGAUGUGGUGGGGUAAACCAUAGUACGAGCUACGCGUGAGUGACGCUGGGGAGUACGCGCAGUAAACUCAAAGAUGAUGGGACCGACAGCGUGGAUGAUGUGAUCAUCGAUGCACGUAAGACUACCUACCUUGACAUGGCAG